GGGGGUUUAGUUUAACGGCAAAAUAGCGGUCUCCAAAACCGUUGAUGGGGGUUCAAUUCCCUCAACCCCCGCAA
rnacentral:tRNA from 1 species